rnacentral:rRNA from 1 species
GACGAACGCUGGCGGCGUGCCUAAUACAUGCAAGUCGAGCGGAGUUACUUUGAAAGCUUGCUUUCAAAGUAACUUAGCGGCGGACGGGUGAGUAACACGUAGGCAACCUGCCCCUUAGACUGGGAUAACUACCGGAAACGGUAGCUAAUACCGGAUAAUUUCUUUUUUCUUCUGAAGGAAGAAUGAAAGACGGAGCAAUCUGUCACUGAGGGAUGGGCCUGCGGCGCAUUAGCUAGUUGGUGGGGUAACGGCCUACCAAGGCGACGAUGCGUAGCCGACCUGAGAGGGUGAACGGCCACACUGGGACUGAGACACGGCCCAGACUCCUACGGGAGGCAGCAGUAGGGAAUCUUCCGCAAUGGACGAAAGUCUGACGGAGCAACGCCGCGUGAGUGAUGAAGGUUUUCGGAUCGUAAAGCUCUGUUGCCAGGGAAGAACGUCCGGUAGAGUAACUACUACCGGAGUGACGGUACCUGAGAAGAAAGCCCCGGCUAACUACGCGCCAGCAGCCGCGGUAAUACGUAGGGGGCAAGCGUUGUCCGGAAUUAUUGGGCGUAAAGCGCGCGCAGG